rnacentral:misc_RNA from 1 species
UUUCGCUUUAAAGUGUCAUAAAGGAGGAUGAUAUUUCGCCUGAUAUCCCGAUUACCUGUGCAGGCAGGGCAAUCAGUAAGGAUGAGUUCUUCCUCAGCAAAGCGUCUCUCCGGAAAAGUAGCGAUUGUCACAGCCUCCACAGACGGAAUAGGAUAUUCCAUAGCUGAGAGACUUGGACAGGAUGGGGCCAAAGUAAUGAUUAGCAGUAGAAAACAAAAAAAUGUAGAUGCCAGUCUUCAGAAACUGAAAUCCCUUGGGAUUGAGGCCUCAGGAAUAGUAUGCCAUGUAGCCAAGAAAGAAGACAGACAGAAAAUGAUACAGAAGACUCUAGAUGAUUUUGGAGGUGUUGACAUUUUCAUUUCCAAUGCUGCUGCCAAUCCCCAUUUUGGUCCACUUCUGUCAUGUUCAGAAGAUGCCUGGGAUAAGAUUUUUGAAACUAAUGUCAAAGCAACUUUUAUGUUAUGCAAAGAAAUUGUACCUCUCAUGGAAAAAAGAGGAUCAUUGGUGCCUAUUCAGUCAGCAAGACGAGUCUUUUAGGUCUAAUUAAAGCUCUGGUCCCUGAGUGUUCUUCCAGAAAUGUACGCAUUAACGGACUGGCACCAGGUGUUAUAAAGACCCGCUUCAGUGAGCAAUUGUGGAAAGAUGAAGAGAGCUCAAUUAGUCAACUUUCCCUUCAAAUGAUACCCAUUAAAAGGUUCGGUGAGCCGCGAGAGUGUGCAGGGACUGUGUCCUUCCUGGUCUCUGACGAUGCUUCCUACAUCACUGGCGAAACCAUUCUGGUCACGGGGGGCAUUGAUGCAAGACUUUAGGGGGCCAAUCAACAAAGACCACUGAUCAAAGCAAAAAUCCACCUCAAACACAGUUAUCUUUCUUAGAUAGUAUUUUCUGUGACUGUAUUAUAUUAUUAUCUUUGUGUGCAUGCUAUUUGAAGACUGUGAUAAGGGAUUCAUAACGAAGAACAUUUCAUAUUUCCUGAUAAUUUAAUGUACAAUGAUAUUCAUAUUUGGGAUAUUUAAAAAUUGA